AUUGAACGCUGGCGGCAUGCUUUACACAUGCAGGUCGAACGGCAGCGCGGGCUUCGGCCUGGCGGCGAGUGGCGAACGGGUGAGUAAUACAUCGGAACGUGCCCAGUAGUGGGGGAUAGCUCGGCGAAAGCCGGAUUAAUACCGCAUACGACCUGAGGGUGAAAGCGGGGGAUCUUCGGACCUCGCGCUAUUGGAGCGGCCGAUGGCAGAUUAGCUAGUUGGUGGGGUAAAAGCCUACCAAGGCGACGAUCUGUAGCUGGUCUGAGAGGACGACCAGCCACACUGGGACUGAGACACGGCCCAGACUCCUACGGGAGGCAGCAGUGGGGAAUUUUGGACAAUGGGCGAAAGCCUGAUCCAGCAAUGCCGCGUGUGUGAUGAAGGCCUUCGGGUUGUAAAGCACUUUUGGCGGGGACGAAAAGGACUGUGCCAAUACCACGGUUCGAUGACGGUACCCGCAGAAUAAGCACCGGCUAACUACGUG
rnacentral:rRNA from 1 species